GGCCCGCGCCCUUCCCCCGGGCUCUGUGGUGGCUCUGCGGCCUGGGCUGCCCCAGCGCUGAGCGAGGCGGUGCUGCACUGCACUGCUCCUCGGAGCUGGGCUGGGGGUGGCCGGGACUGGGAGCUGCCCCCGUGGCCUCACCGUGUCCUGUGGGGCUCUGCUGUGAGAAGGGCUUCUGGCAGUGGGUUCUGCCUGUUGGUAGAGCAGCUGGGGCUCUGCAGAACGGCGGGGUGCUCAGAUGGAGUGGCUGUGGUGGUGGUGUUUUUUCAUAGGCCAGGCAGCCUAAACAGAGGGUAUGGGUACUCACAGUGCUCAGAGCCAUCGCUGUGCCCUGGUGCUGUGCUGUCUGUCCUGUAAGCAGUGUGCUGUAGCUGCUCUGGCAGUUUCCUUGCUGCCCUCUGGCAGCACUGCCCGGCUCCCACCCGGCUGACACACAAAGAUGGUGUGUAUGCAGUGCUGAUGGGGAGGAUCAGCCCAUGCCCUGUGCAGUGGGCAGAGGAAUGUGACAGAGCCACCAGUCCUUGGCACUGGGGUUAUCCACCGUGGCACCAUAGCCCUGCAGUGCUGCCACCUGUUACCACACUUGAGCUAAGGAGGCUGUCCCAGCUGGUGCUCCUGAGGCUGCCCAGGGUACAGUCCAAGCCUUGCAUUUGCUCUAUAGGUUGAAUUUGGGGCUGCAAAAUAAACCACUGUGUUGAGUUCUUUGGCUGCACGCCUGUGACCUUUUCAUCCCGUGUAGCUGCUGUAUUUCCCAUGUGUUUGCAGCACUCUUCGCAGUCUCCUCCCUGAUCUGUGUCCCUGUGUGCCAGAAGCAUCGCUCAGUGAGACUUAAACAAGAAAUACCUUGUGCUACACUGCCACCUGUGCACCCUUGUUUGACUGAUGCUUGAUCCUGUCUGCUGGGAAGGCUGGCUGAAUGGAGGCAGACCCAUCUCCUCUUUCUCUCCUCUGGAACGUGCUUUCAGUCUGCUGCUGCAGUGCAGAUUUGCAGCUGGGUUCUGCUCAGGGUGUGUGGCUGCUCGGCCUCACUGCUGCUUUCCUGCACUGGAUGCGUGCACCUCCAGGAGUGUUGGUUCUUCUGCAUCUCAGGGAAGGAGACUCAUCCUCAUCUGCGCCCUUUUCAGCUGUGAAGGAAGUGUUGGUGCAGGGUCUCCAGGAGGGCCAUAGGUCCUAUGGGCCAACCUGGGCUCAUCCACGCAGAGCUCCUCCUGGCGCAGUGUGUCUGCCAUAUCCCAGGAUAGAGGAUCCCUGCUGGCUGAGUGCUGCCCUGCGGUGUGGACAGAGGGAGAAGAGGACCCUGAGCUGGGCUCGAUGCCAACAGAGACAUUUGGUGUGGGCAGCGGGAUGGUUCCCAGCGCCCAUCCACCUCAUGGCCAUGCACAGGGCAGAGCACAGGGCACUGCUCAGCGCCCUCCGUGAGUCCCUCUGCAGACUAAACAGCUGUUUCUGAUGAAAAACAUCCCCCUGAAAAGCCAACGAGCAAAACCACGGCCUCCCUUAAUGAUAUUUGCUUUGUGGUUUGGGUUUGGAAUAUCUUCCCUACAACUGAAGAGCAAAACCCUCUCUCGACUGGAAGCGCUUUUGAUUUCCUCCCUUCCCAAGGCUCCUCGGGGACAUUGGCAGCACCGUGGUUUGUCACCGUGGACUCUCCCCUUGUUGGGACCCCAUGGGAUCAUUGACUGGAGGAUGAAGGGGUUUCUCCAUGCGAUGAGCUGCAGCCACUGUGCUCCCUCCGUGGACCAUUCCAACUCCUUCCAACGCGGUUGUAUUUUAUCCGUGGAGCUCUGUAAGGAUUUUGUUCCGUCAUCCUGGAAUUUUUAUGACUCCUUUGUGUGUAUAUAAUGCGAUUGCCCUGGAACAGAGAGAAAUUAAUCAUUGUUCCUUUGUUAGUUUUCAGGAAUUUUUAAUGCCUAUGUUUUUGUUCAUCUGUCAUGUCCGAAUGUGGGGUCCGUGGGCUAUUUGACAUUGAAAAUGACUUAAUUGCUUAGGUUUCCCCCCGUGGUGUUUACGGACACUUGUUCGUGGUGGAUUUGGAGCGUGACAUUCCGUACCAUGUACUUUCUGUCUGCUGCCAAUUUUUCACCCCAUUCCGGUGGUUCCUCUCCAGGAAUCCAAUGGGUACGGCUGCGAGUGGGAGCGUGGGGCAGUGCUGACCUCAGGUGGGAAGCCGGAGCUUCUCGGGGUGAUGUAGAGAUGGGAAGAUGUCCAAGACUUCAUUGCAGCUGGGGCUGCAGCUGAUGGCGUUGGGUUUGCACUGGGCUCUGUUGCACGGUGUCAUCCCUCUUUGAGGAAUUGUUGGUUGAGAUCCCCUGGGAAGCCGGCCUUAGGGACAAAGGAAUGGAACGGAGCUGCAUGGAACUCCUUAGGGACGCCUGUCUGAGAGCACAGGAGCUCUCCAAAAAGUGGGUGUCCCAUCCUUGGAGGUGCCCAAGGCCAUGGAUGGGCCCUGCGCAGCCUGAGCUGGUGUGGGGCAGCCAGCCCAUGGCACGGGGUUGGAACUGGGUGGGCUUUGAGGUCUUUUCCAAC